UGGGGAAUAUUGGACAAUGGGCGAAAGCCUGAUCCAGCCAUGCCGCGUGUGUGAAGAAGGUCUUCGGAUUGUAAAGCACUUUAAGUUGGGAGGAAGGGCAUUAACCUAAUACGUUAGUGUUUUGACGUUACCGACAGAAUAAGCACCGGCUAACUCUGUGCCAGCAGCCGCGGUAAUACAGAGGGUGCAAGCGUUAAUCGGAAUUACUGGGCGUAAAGCGCGCGUAGGUGGUUUGUUAAGUUGGAUGUGAAAUCCCCGGGCUCAACCUGGGAACUGCAUUCAAAACUGACUGACUAGAGUAUGGUAGAGGGUGGUGGAAUUUCCUGUGUAGCGAUGAAAUGCGUAGAUAUAGGAAGGAACACCAGUGGCGAAGGCGACCACCUGGACUAAUACUGACACUGAGGUGCGAAAGCGUGGGGAGCAAACA
rnacentral:rRNA from 1 species